AUGGGCAAAGGAGAGAAACAAGUUUUCUAUAGAAUCUGUGAAGAGUCUACUUGUGCAAUACAUAACUAUACAAUGUAUAACUUCAGAGACAUGUCUUAUCAAGAUUUUCGGGAAAUCUUCAAAGGUAUCCGCUCUUCCUGGGGGGAGGACGUAAACUUAACGCUCAUUUAUCUAUUUUGUCUCGCCUUCACUCUAAUGCAACAAACUAAAUGGAUCUAAUUAUAAGAAUUUUAAUUCGCAUACUUUAAUAUACGGUAGGACAACGGAGAAGAUGGCCAGCAAUUUAAUUAUCGGUCUAUAAAAAUUAAUUAAUGAAUUCAUACAGUAUGUAAAUAUUAAAAAUGGUAAUUUGUUUCUGCUCUCUCGA